rnacentral:lncRNA from 1 species
UGCUAUCAAAACAACAAAAUGUUGUGACCAAAAUGGCAAUCAUAUGCAUUCUAGUAAAACCAAUAAGAAAUACUCUCACUUCUUUAAGAGAGAAAUUGGGGUCAUCUAUCGUGAAUCCUAUAAUGACUUCUUAAAGAAGCAACAGAUUUACCUUCGAAAGAAUGCAAUCAUUAAAUUCGAUUAACUAGGGGAAGAAGAAGAUCAAGAGAAACAAAAUUCAAAGAAGUAGGAUCCUGGUGAAAAGAAUAUGCAGUAACAUGUUAUAGCAUCAUAAAAUUGGAGAAGUGAAUAAGUUGUUGAGUACAGCAUACUAGGAUCAGACAGGUUAAGAAUGAAGGGUAGAAUUGAACUUAGUGACAGUAUAUUAUUCGCCAAAAUCUGGCUUCUCGUCCCAAAUUUCUGAUCACUUCCAGAAGAAAAAAUACCCCAAUUAUGCCUCACAACAAGAACAAGUUUAGCUUCCACCUCAAUCAGUAGGCCCUAACCAGAAGUAUAUUAUGACUUCAGAAACAACCAUGCCAAACUUCUACAAGGUCUAUUUUAUAUAUUUUUCCAAGAAUAAUCUAGGAACUUAGUCAUACCAUCCUCAAAUUCGACGUACUUCCUUACUAAAUAAUACCUACCAUAAACCAAUCUUCCAUCACUUGGCAAAAUAGUCACGAUUUCAACAGAAAGCGCCAUAGAAUGUCACCAGCAUCCGUAACUAAAACCAUCAACCUAGAGUAGUAAAUUACAACCAUGACGCCCACCUAACUAGCAAUUCCAAAUGCAUGCACCAUACAUUCCACCUCCAGAAAAUUAGAACUUUUCACAAAGAUACAAGAAUUAAAGAACACUAGUGAAACUAAGAAAACCUUUACGAAGAGAAGAAUCUUUAACAAAAUGUGAAUUGAGAUUUGCUGCUAUGAUCCCACACCUGGUGAAAUCUGCAAACAAAAGCUAACACAAAGAUGCAAACAGAGAAAAAAUACCUCAUAUUCGUCUGCUGAGUAGAUUAAAGGCAGACUAGGAGGUCCAGCAGCUAUAAAACCGAACAAACAAACACAAAAUAUUAAGCACAACCACCGUCAGCUUAACAUUAAGCUUAAAUGUGAAAACAUGGUCCCAUCAGAGUUUAGUUCACAAAUGACUUACAGUAAAACAGAGGACAACUUGACUCGUAAAAACAACACCUGAAACUGAAACUUUUAUUGAACAAAACAAACGACACACUGACACAAACAACCUGACUAACAAUGUAAAAGCUUGAACCUUAAUCAGAAGACGAAAGCUAAAGGAUUUUCGGAAAAUUACUCGAAUU